rnacentral:rRNA from 1 species
GUGGGGAAUAUUGGACAAUGGGCGCAAGCCUGAUCCAGCCAUGCCGCGUGAGUGAUGAAGGCCUUAGGGUUGUGAAGCUCUUUCAGUGGGGACGACAAUGACGGUACCCACAGAAGAAGCCCCGGCUAACUUCGUGCCAGCAGCCGCGGUAAUACGAAGGGGGCUAGCGUUGUUCGGAUUUACUGGGCGUAAAGCGCACGUAGGCGGAUCGUUAAGUCGGGGGUGAAAUCCUGGAGCUCAACUCCAGAACUGCCUUCGAUACUGGCGAUCUUGAGUCCGGAAGAGGUGAGUGGAACUCCUAGUGUAGAGGUGGAAUUCGUAGAUAUUAGGAAGAACACCAGUGGCGAAGGCGGCUCACUGGUCCGGUACUGACGCUGAGGUGCGAAAGCGUGGGGAGCAAACAGGAUUAGAUACCCGGGUAGUCC